CAGAAAUCACCCGUCUUCUGCGUCGCUCACGCUGGGAGCUGUAGACCGGAGCUGUUCCUAUUGGGCCAUCUUGGCUCCUCCUGUGACAUCUUCCUGCAGACAGACAGCGCUUGCUUCCCUGACAGGCUUG